rnacentral:rRNA from 1 species
GACGAACGCUGGCGGCGUGCUUAACACAUGCCAGUCGAACGGAAAGGCCCUGCUUUUGUGGGGUGCUCGAGUGGCGAACGGGUGAGUAACACGUGAGUAACCUGCCCUUGAUUUUGGGAUAACUUCAGGAAACUGGGGCUAAUACCGGAUAGGAGCUCCUGCUGCAUGGUGGGGGUUGGAAAGUUUCGGCGGUUGGGGAUGGACUCGCGGCUUAUCAGCUUGUUGGUGGGGUAGUGGCUUACCAAGGUUUUGACGGGUAGCCGGCCUGAGAGGGUGACCGGCCACAUUGGGACUGAGAUACGGCCCAGACUCCUACGGGAGGCAGCAGUGGGGAAUAUUGCACAAUGGGCGGAAGCCUGAUGCAGCAACGCCGCGUGCGGGAUGACGGCCUUCGGGUUGUAAACCGCUUUCGCCUGUGACGAAGCGUGAGUGACGGUAAUGGGUAAAGAAGCACCGGCUAACUACGUG